UUUGGCUAAGAUCAAGUGUAGUAUCUGUUCUUAUCAGUUUAAUAUCUGAUAUGCGGGUCAUCGACCCACUUGAUAUUAAUCUUAUUUUUGGAGGGGGAAAAGGGCCGUCACACUAGCUUGCUAGUGGGUCUUUCUUCUGAUAAAUUGUCGCCUUGGUCCUACACUAUCACCAAGGCCUGGCACCCCAAUUCAUAGUUCAAGCUUUUUGUUUAAGUUUAUUUUUACGAUUUACGAUCAAUGCCUCGUGGUGUUCUUCUGAACCUAGAUAAGCUCAAGCUCCUCAACUGUUUGACAUGGCGAUUCGCCUUGUGUGCACUGUUUUCAUGAUAGCAUCACAGCUCUGUGGACUGUACCCUCUUUGGCUUGGCUGGGUGUUCUUCUUUAUCUUUUACCUAUCGGCUUGCGUAGCAUAUUACACUGUUUACGCUUUCCACCGAGCAUCCGUACAAGAUUUCCCACUUACUUUCCAUCAGAGGGAUCUUGUUUGUCUGCUUUUGGCAGGGUGGUGUACUCAAGGCUCUUGUGGCAACGGGCUUAAUGAAAAACAAUCAUUAUUGGCGGCAAGAGCUACAUAACAAGUAGAUGAGUGUCUACGCGUUGUGGCGGUAUUUUUAAAAAGUGUUGGUUAAAUAUGGUUGUACCUUGUUUUGUUGCGUGAAUGUACAAAAAAAACACAUGGGCAGUAUAUAAGAUAGAACUCAUUUGAAAUAUGUUAAUUGAAA